rnacentral:rRNA from 1 species
CCUACGGGUGGCAGCAGUGGGGAAUAUUGCACAAUGGGGGAAACCCUGAUGCAGCGACGCCGCGUGAGUGAAGAAGUAUUUCGGUACGUAAAGCUCUAUCAGCAGGGAAGAAAAUGACGGUAACUGACUAAGAAGCCCCGGCUAACUACGUGCCAGCAGCCGCGGUAAUACGUAGGGGGAAAGCGUGAUCCGGUUUUAAUGGGUGUAAAGGGAGCGUAGACGGCAGGGCAAGUCUGGAGUGAAAUCCCAUGGCUUAACCAUGGAACUGCUUUGGAAACUGUGCAGCUAGAGUGCAGGAGAGGUAAGUGGAAUGCCUAGUGUAGCCGUGAAAUGCGUAGAUAUUAGGAGGAACACCAGUGGCGAAGGCGGCUUUCUGGACUGUAACUGACGUUGAGGCUCGAAAGCGUGGGGAGCAAACAGGAUUAGAUACCCGUGUAGUC